CAUUCGGGCGGGGUUCGGAAAAGCUUUGUGGUUCAACUCGAUUUGAAGAGCUUGCUCAGAUAUGAGAUUAGAGGAUUGCAAAGAGUGGCGAAGGGUGAGUAACACGUGGGAAACCUACCUCUUAGCAGGGGAUAACAUUUGGAAACAGAUGCUAAUACCGUAUAACAAUGACAACCGCAGGUUGUUAUUUAAAAGAUGGUUCUGCUAUCACUAAGAGAUGGUCCCGCGGUGCAUUAGCUAGUUGGUAAGGUAAUGGCUUACCAAGGCGAUGAUGCAUAGCCGAGUUGAGAGACUGAUCGGCCACAAUGGGACUGAGACACGGCCCAUACUCCUACGGGAGGCAGCAGUAGGGAAUCUUCCACAAUGGGCGAAAGCCUGAUGGAGCAACGCCGCGUGUGUGAUGAAGGGUUUCGGCUCGUAAAACACUGUUGUAAGAGAAGAAUGACAUUGAGAGUAACUGUUCAACUCGCGCGACCGGCAUCUUACCAGAGAAGGAACGGCUAAAUACGUGCCAGCAGCCGCGGUAAUACGUAUGUUCCAAGCGUUAUCCGGAUUUAUUCGCCGUAAAGCCGAGCGCAGACGGUUAUUUAAGGUCUGAAGUGAAAGCCCUCAGCUCAAACUGAGCAACCGCGUCUCGAACACUGGACGCACUUGAGUGCAGUAGAGGAAAGUGGAACUCCCAUGUGUAGCGGUGAAAUGCGUAGAUAUAUGGAAGAACACCAGUGGCGAAGGCGGCUUUCUGGACUGUAACUGACGUUGAGGCUCGAAAGUGUGGGUAGCAAACAGGAUUAGAUACCCUGGUAGUCCACACCGUAAACGAUGAGUGCGAGGUGUGUGAGGGUCGUCCGCCCUUAAGUGCCGCAGCUAACGCAUUAAGCACUCCGCCUGGGGAGUACGACCGCAAGGUUGAAACUCAAAGGAAUUGACGGGGACCCGCACAAGCGGUGGAGCAUGUGGUUUAAUUCGAAGCAACGCGAAGAACCUUACCAGGUCGUGACAUCCCUUGACAACCUCCAGAGAUGGAGUGUUCCCUUCGGGGACAAGGUGACAGGUGGUGCAUGGUUGUCGUCAGCUCGUGUCGUGAGAUGUUGGGUUAAGUCCCGCAACGAGCGCAACCCUUAUUACUAGUUGCCAGCAUUCAGUUGGGCACUCUAGUGAGACUGCCGGUGACAAACCGGAGGAAGGUGGGGAUGACGUCAAAUCAUCAUGCCCCUUAUGACCUGGGCUACACACGUGCUACAAUGGCGUAUACAACGAGUUGCCAACCCGCGAGGGUGAGCUAAUCUCUUAAAGUACGUCUCAGUUCGGAUUGUAGGCUGCAACUCGCCUACAUGAAGUCGGAAUCGCUAGUAAUCGCGGAUCAGCACGCCGCGGUGAAUACGUUCCCGGGUCUUGUACACACCGCCCGUCACACCAUGAGAGUUUGUAACACCCAAAGCCGGUGGGGUAACCUUCGGGAGGCCCCAAGCCA
rnacentral:rRNA from 1 species